GGCUCGGUGGUCUGGGUAUGAUUCUCGCUUUGGGUGCGAGAGGUCCGGUUCAAAUCCCGGUCGAGCCC
rnacentral:tRNA from 1 species